CAUGUCCAAUUCAGCUAUAAGCACAAUUACAUUCGAAUUUUCGUUUUUCAUGAAUUGCAGAUUCUAUAAAUUGGUUGCCUUUUUUAAGUAAUAUAAACGUGCAAUUCGGCGAAUGGCGUGCAUAUUCUUUCCAAGGAUCGUCUGCAAUUGUCCAUUCGUGUAGAAUUAGCCCGCAAUUAAAACAUUGUACACAAUCUCUUGCGCCUAGGAAUUUAAAACCAGCUUCACACAAUGAAAAUGUAUUUAGAUGUUUCAAAGCGAAUGAAUCAAAAGUUCUUAGUCUUGACGCAAAUGUAGUUGUCUCAACAUAUUUCGGAUUCUGACUACUCCGAACGAUGUAUAAUAAUUUAGAAAAAUCAUCUGAGUAUUUUGUUAAAUUCAUAAUGUAAAAAUUAAUGAUACUAACACAACUGGCAUGUACAAC